GACCCGGUGGCGCAAUGGUAGCGCGUCUGAAUCCAGAUCAGAAAAGUGCGUGUUCGAAUCACGUCCGGGUCA